rnacentral:rRNA from 1 species
GACGUAGGGGGCCAGCGUUGCUCGGAAUUACUGGGCGUAAAGGGUUCGUAGGCGGUGCGGCAAGUCGGAAGUGAAAUCUCUGGGCUUAACUCAGAGGCUGCUCCCGAAACUGCCGUGCUUGAGUGCGGGAGAGGCGAGUGGAAUUGCAGGUGUAGCGGUGAAAUGCGUAGAUAUCUGCAGGAACACCCGUGGCGAAGGCGGCUCGCUGGACCGCAACUGACGCUGAGGAACGAAAGCUAGGGGAGCAAACAGG